UCAAACCGCCAUCUCUCUCUCUUCUUUUUCCAUUUUUAUUUCAUCUUCCAUACACGCACAUUAUUCACAUUCAUCUUCCACCGCUUUCUCUCUCAUCUUGAUUUUCAGAAAAUACUGAUUCCAAUUUUAGGGUUCUUCCAUUCCAGUAUUGUUGAUUGCAUCUAUGGCGAUUUUUCAAAUCCUAGGUUUUCCAUCUAAGUCUAAUUGAUGACAGGGAUGUUCGUGUUCAACUACAGACCAUCAAUUCAAAAACCCUAAUCAUCGGUCACCUGGUUGAUUCCGAAGGCUGAGUGAUGGAGCUGGUAACAAAUCAGACUUUCAAUCAUCGUUAUUUAGUGGGUUGCAGUUGCGAUGGGGUCGAUUUAAAGGUGGCACGGUGGUAGAUUUGAGGCAAAUCUAGGUCACGACAGAAAUUGAGAGCACUGAUCAACAGAGAAGCCAUGCCCGUACAGUGGGAAAAGUUUGUCCAAUUGUGGAAAUUGAAGCUAGAGACCAUAUCUGGUGUGCUAAAUACCUCCUUGAGGUCUAAUAAAGCAGGUAAAGCUUGAUAAGAAUCUAUCAGUUGAUGCUAUGUUGACCUGUUUUCGCCAGCUUGCUAUGGUUUUCUGAGGUUUGUUAUGGACAAUGGAGCUAAAGGGUUCGAGGUGAUUGUUAGAAGAAAGCUUAGGGCCUGGCGUGCACUAUGAUGAUUGAUGGUCUAAGAAAUAGUUUAACUCAUGCAUGGUAAAAUUAUAGGGGGGUUAUUUCGGUUUUAUUGGGUUAUCAUGAGCCCGACUUAUGGUGUUAAAAAUGUCCGUUGGAAUAUUAAUAUUUGGGGCCCAGCUUUGCGUUUACAUCUGCCUUCUUAAAAAUGAUAUCGCGGUCUACAGUAGUACUUAUGGAAGUAUACCUUCCCUAUUGGGACAUAGGUGUGUAGUACAAUCAUCUAUACCUUAUAUUAAAACAAAACAUCUUUGGCCACUUGGCAUUCACUUAUACUACUCAUUGCCUGUAAUCAAGUUCCUGCAGCAGGUGCACUUGGUAUGGGUGACCAAUGAUCUGCUCAAAUUCCAAAUGCUUAGUGGGCUGGUGACAUGGCAUCACCGUUGCUCAAGGUGCAAGUGGUUGAAGGUUAGACUCAACGAUAUGAGAAGACAUAGAUGUGGCAGAAUAUAGUUUGGCCAUACUUAAAAAAAAUCACCAGACUUGAAGCUUGAAAGAAAAAUCAAAAUUCGAAACUGGUUUGGCUCUACGCGGAUGUUGUAGUUUCAAGUAUGAGGAACGGUUUUGGGAACCGGUGGGCCAGGCCACACUAUACUAUGGAGGGCAUAUUUAUGAUGGCUAUGAGUACGCGAUGACGCCACUCAAUGACCCAAGUAUGUAUGCUGCAGCUUAUAGAGCUUAUCCAAUGUAUGUCAUUCAUCAACAAGUCAACUAAAUGAGAUGUAGGCAUGCCCUUAAAAAUUGUUUAAUCGCCAAGUAUUAGCUGGAUAGAAUCAACUUUAAAGCUACAUCAUUUACCAGCAUGGCCAAGCAGAGGAUUCUCUUCAGGCUUUAGUACCAGCCUUCUUAAUACCUCACCACCUAAUUGACUCGGUUCAAGGGAGAUGGGCAUGAAAAUUACCAGUAGUUAGUGGGUUGAGCUGGAAAACGGGUGCCGAUGGAAAUGGGUUAUAUUUUGGUACGGCUAACAACCGGCCGGGUUGGGUUUGGAGUUGAGCAAGAGUACACUUUGCUUCAACCAGAUGUGAAGUGGCCUUUGGGAUGCCCUGUUGGAGGCUACCCUGGUCCACAGGGUCUAUACUACUGUGGUGCUGGAGCGGAUAAGUCAUUUGGAAGAGACAUAUCAGAUGCACAUUACAAGGCUUGCUUAUAUGCCGGAAUUAACAUCAGUGGAACCAACGAAGAAGUUAUGCCUG